AAGUGGAACCGGAGCCCGGGCGCGGGCGCCCACGUUCCAUUCCCGGGAAGGCCUGGGAAGGGAGGGAAUCGCUCACCCGCCAGCCCGCCUGCAGGGAAAGGGCUCCUGGAGCUGUCGAUGCCUGCCCGACGCUGAGAUAACUCUUGGGUCCCAGUUAUCCACCAGCCACUUCUGCCUCGAUUCACCAAAGGGCAGGGAAAGAACCUUUUGGUGAGAUGGUGUGAAUUAGCGACAUCCAGCCUGAGCUGAAGUCUCCAGCGGGUCAAAGAAAUCUUUCCAUUUGCAAACUACCAAGGCUGACUUGCUGUGCAUUUGGCGGGCCUCCUGCCCCUGAUUCUGCUGGUUUGGAGAUGCUUUCUCGCUCUUUGGUUGGCUUCUGUCUCCACACAUUGUGGGGAUCCCAGGGAUUCGUCAUAGGACUCUCGGAUCGCUGGUGCCUCCACUGUGAUCUCCGGUCUCCCUGCGGCCAGCACUGACUUCUAGCAACAGAAUCCUGCAUGAGGGCCUAGGCACAGAACUUUAUUUCCACUCUUCUGAACACAUCUAAUGUGAUGCUCUGCAAUUGUCUGAAAUUUAUCCUACCCUAAGUCAUUAUCUUGUCCCCUUCUCUGGAACCUGCUUCACUUCCCGUAUCCCAAGGUGAGGUUUGGGGCUUCGCUGUCCUCCUCACUUCCCAGGCCACUCUUCUUCAUGGAAGCCUCGCGGUUUACCCUCCACCGCCUACACCUUAUCUUCUUGUUACUUUUGCCCCACAGAUAUCACCCUGAUAUGAUCUCUGUUUCUCACUCCUGCUGGCUUGAUCUUAUGUCUUGCAUUAUUCCGCAUUAGAACAAUUGAUCCCUGUCAACUCCCAUCUCUAUUCUCCACGUCGGUGUCCUCACUAUUUCCAGGUUAUAUUGCAGAACCAAAGCUGCUUAUUUGUCACGUUGAUGCUUAGACACCUCUGUGGGCUUCUGGCAGCUGAAAGGAUAAAAUUUAAUUUCUGUGGUUUGGUUUAGUAAAUUCUCAUAAUCUGCUCCUGUAUUUGUUUGUUAGGGCUGCCAUAACAAAGUACCAGAGACUGGGUGGCUUAACAGAAAUUUAUUUGCUCACCUUGUCUCUACAAAAAAUACAAAAAUUAGCCAGGCUUUGCGGUGUGUGCCUUUGGUCCCAGCUAUUAGGGACGCUGAGGUGGGAGGAUCGCUUGAGCCCGGGAGGCAGAGGAUGUAGUGAGCCAAGAUCGGGCCACUGCACUCCAAGUGACAGAGUGAGACUCUGUCUCAUAAAGAAAGAAAGAGAGAGAGAGAAGAAAGAAAAAAAGAAGGAAGGAAGGAAAAAGAAAAGAAAAAUUGUAUUUUCUCACGAGGUGUUGGCAGAGUUGGUUUCUUCUGAGGCCUCUCUCCUUGGCUUGCAGAUGGCCCCGCUUUUGUGUCCUCACGCCGUCUUCCCUCUUCCCUCUGUAUGCGUCUGUGUCCUAAUUGUCUAUUCUUAUACAUCAUAUUGGAUUAGGGCCUACCCUCAUGACCUUGUUUUCACUUCAUUACUUCUGUAAAGACCCUGUCUCCAAGUAUGGUCAUGUUCUGAGGUAAUGGGGGUUAGGACUUCAACACAGAAAUUUUUGGGGGGACACAAUUUAGCUUUAACAGCUCUUAAUGUACUCCUCUAGCAUGGCAUCCCAUGCCAUCCAUCCACCUUAAUGAAUUAUUCAUUUGUUCUCUAGGCACAUAUAACAUGCUGCUAAUAUUUAGGUAAUUAUGGCUACCUAUUACCUGAUCCUGCAGUUUAUUAAUUUAGAUAUUCAUGUUCUUCUCUUAACUGUGAGCUUCUCAAAGGCAAGACUGGUGGGUCUGGAGCACAGCCCUAGCUCAUGCUAUUCAUCAGUUCAUUCUGAAGACAUUUCCUGUGCCCUGAAUUAAGGUCUGGGCAUGUAGAGAGGAGUAUGAUACAGCCUUGGCCCUCAAGAGGAGACAGACCAAAAAUGAGAGAUUACCAAGUGGGUUAAGGGUUAUGGUGCCUGUCAUCCAAGGAACUUCUGAAGCUGAAGAUGUCCUGAAUAGCACCAGCAGCACUGCAGAGUCGAAGGAUUCUUACAGACACAUUCCAACAGAGGAGAGCCAGGCCUGGAAAGAGAAUGCAGAAUCUGAGCCAAAGGGUCCUCUGGAGAAUAGGCCUAGUACAAUGUUUUCAAAUUGUGAUCAGAAGAUCUCCAGCAUCACUUGCAGCUCUUGCUAAAAAUAUAGAUACUGGGUCCACAUUCCAACCUUAUUGACUCAAAAUCUUCCGGAUUCCAGUCCUGAAAUUCUGAAUCUUCACAGGGGAUUCUCAGGCAUCCAAAGUUUGAGAAGCACCAAUGUGUUCCAAAUGGAAGAGGUUUCAUAAAUAUUUCCCCCACAUUUCUAUACUUCACUGUUAGCACUAGUGAGACAAUCAUCUGGAAUCCCAGACUUAGAAGAAAAUUCAGUGGUCUUUGAGUCAGGUUACUCUAUGCUUGUGCCUGCAGUCACUAAUUCGUUGUAAGGACCCUGGAGCCAGACUGCCUGGAUUCUGAUUUACUCACUACUUCCUAGCUGUGUGACCUUGGGAAAGUCACUUUAUCUCCUUGUACCACCAAAGAUGAGGAUAAUGAUAAUGCCUACCUCAUAGGGUUGUUGUGAGGAUUAGGUGAAUUAAUACAUGUGUUUUAGUCCAUUCGGGCUGCUAUAAAAAAUAUCAUGUAGUGGGUGGCUUAUAAACGAUGAACCUUUAUUUCUUACAGUUCUGGAAGCUGGACGGUCCAAGAUCAUGCUGCCAGCAGAUUUGUGGUCUGUGUGCUAGAUCUUCCUGGACACGCUGCACAAAUCUCACCUCAGUCUUAGUGCCACCGUGGACGCUGGAAGGAGCCAUUUUAAAAGGCAACCUUAAACAGUUCAGUCUAAUUUAAUAUUAGUGGCCUCCACACCUCUGACUCUUGUAUUAUUAGAAUUGCCUGUUUGGCUUUUAUUUUCCAGUGUGAACUGAUGAAACAGACACAAAGUGAAGUACCCGUUGGUUUCGCGGUCUCCACCUCGAGAGGAAAUCCAAAAGGAGUUUCUGGCAUGUGUGGUGUUGCUUAGCAAUUUACCCAAACAAACAUGUUUCCUCCUCAUUUUUUUCCCCAGUACUUAUUUACUCAAGAACAUUGUAAAAUCAAUUUUUACCACUUGACAUCUGAAAUCAUUAGAAGAAAAUCUGGUGUUUUGGGCUUUAUGAGAAGAACUGCUAACCACACAUGAAUGCAGUAUGCUGCUACCACAAAUUACGCAGUUGAGUUUCCCACAUUUGGAGAAAUCACAGGGAUCAGCAAGUCUUCAGUGGAAUAGAGAAGCCUUGCCCUAGGGAAAACUACCCUUGUGGUCAUGGUAUCUACCCUGCCUGGUGAAGAAGGUCCUUGCUUCCCCUUCUCCUUCCGCCAUGAUUGUAAGUUUCCUGAGGCCUCCCCAGCCAUGUAGAACUGAUUUUUAUAAAUCUUGACCUUCAUAUUAUUGUACCAUUCAUGAUUUUGUGGUUUUAAAGGUGGCUUUUCUUUUCCUAAUUAUUUAUUGAAAAUCUUUAAUUCCUCCUGUGAAUUCUGCCAGCUCACUUUUCAUUUUUCCAUGGUCAUGUAUUUUAUUUUAUAUUUUUCAUUCUUUUUUAAAGUUAAAAUUAUUUUUAAAGGAUUUCUGUUCCUGGCUCUGAUGGAGCAACACGGACAGAUUUACCCUCUUACUUAAACAAAAUACAGACAAAAUUUAUAAAGGAUGGUUCUGAAACAUGGGACAACAGGCAGUAUAAACAGUAAUUUUUCAAAGAAGAUAAAAAAAGGAAGUAAACCCUAUGGUUUCUCUACUGAUUCCCUAGAAAGAGAUUUCAAGCUAUCAGUCUCACUCAAUUGAGAAGACAGAGUUCAUUGAGAAUUUGGGGAAAGUCAAAGUGGACAGAAUUCACAAAGAACUAAAAAAAAGAGUAUUGUGCAGAGAAAGAGCUCCAGCUACCUCCACAGAGUUUCCCUUGAGUUUUCAGAUCAUGCGUUUGGUGAACCCACCUGAGGCAAGGGAAAGAACUACCAGAAAGAAGCAGGUGGAAAAAUUCCUGAUGUUCACAUAGACCGGGAAAUUUCUCAAGUUUUUGUCAUCUGAAUUGAAGAAAUCUUAUACUGUAUGAGGUGUUGAAGAGAAUACUCAGAAGGACAAUGCCUCCGUAGUAGGACCAAACUAGCCUAGAGUAAAGGCUGGUCUGUCUUGUAUGACUCCUUGUGAAACUAUUCUGCUGAGUAUGUCACCAAUUUUCUUAGCGAAUCUAAGUGAUUCCAAGUAAUAAGUUGAAAUUUUCACUAUUUGUAUGUUUUUAUUGAUUAUUCAUUGUGGUUCUAAUAGUUUUUGGUUUAUAAUAUUUUGUUGGUCUGUUAUUUGCUGCAUAGUGGUUUAUGAUAGUUAUAUCUUUAUUGGAUCUUUAACAAUGUAGAAUAAGUUCUUUGUUUCAUUUCAUGUUAUUUGUUUCUAAAUUUUACUUCUUAUUUAACAGUAAUGUUGCAAAUCUUUAAAAAUGUUUUACUUUAUUUGUAAGGAAAACACCUAAAGCAAAGUGAAACAAUAAGUGAUGUAGGAUCUAUUAUUAUUAUUUUCCAUCAUGUGAAUCUUUGUCUUAACAGAGAGGCUUCGUCUAUUUAUAUUUGUUGUUACAAUUGAUUUCUUUCAUCAUUCUGUUAUUUCAGUGUUUCUCUUGAAAAAUAGGUUCUUGUUAUUCAAUGAUUUAGUUUUCACUUUAUGUAUCGUUUUCUUUAUUUUGUCCUUCAUAUUUUGCAAGCUAUAUAGCCUCUGUUAAAUUCCAUUAAUGGAUAUCUUUAAGCACUCUUUGACAUGUAAUUUUCUAAUGUCUCAGUAAAUAAAGAAUUUGUCAACAUAAAAUGUGUGUGUAGGCCAGGUGCGGUGGCUCAUGCCUGUAAUCCCAGAACUUUGGGAGGCCAAGGUGGGUGGAUCACCUGAGGUCAGGAUUUUGAAACCAGCCUGACCAACAUGGCGAAACCCCGUCUCUACUAAAAGAAUACAACACUUAGCCGGACGUGGGGG
rnacentral:lncRNA from 1 species